UGAAUUACUUUUAGUUUUCCGCCAAAACAAACGCGCCAAAACAGGUUUCCUUAUUCUAUUACUUUUUCUCCAAAUUCUUAGCCCACAAUUUUAGUUUCCACUGCAGCUAGGUUUUCUCUUUUCUUAUUCUGCUAAACUAAGUUCUUGCGUGUAUUCCAUUCUUCGAUCUCCAUCGCUGUGUUCUACCCAAAAUCUGGAUAAGCUGACAGAAAUUGUUUCUGAACAAAUUCAAGAAGUGGAAGAGGGUACUGAUGUGGACCCUAUUGUUAAUGCUGCUUUUGUGAAACUUAUUGGUGAAAAGUCAGGAUAAUGCCGCGAUCAAGGAUCGGGAGUCAAGCCAGCUAGUAAGAGAUCUAUGCAUGUAACUCAAGAGCAGCUGCAAGCACAACAGAAGGAGGUGAAAGAAGAACGCCAUAAACAAGAGAGCGUAGAGUGCAAAUUAAUAGAAGUGGAAAAUCAACUUGAUGAGGAGCGGAAAAAACGAGAAGUCAUGGAAGCUCGUCUAUUGAGUGAUCAAAAAAUGUUAAAACAGGGCAUGAUGGCAAUAGUAUCCCAUAUAUAAAGUUCCGAGGUAUUUAGUUUGUUUAAGACGUUAAAAUUUCAAUUACUUGCUUUUGAUCCUAUGAACAAUUAUAUUAAACUACUUGAGAAUAAAAGAGAUAGCAUCACUUUUCAUGGAAUUGAAGCUAACAAGUGCAUCACUUUAUCCUUAGGUUUGAAUUUUACUCUUUUAUAAGGAAAAAUUAGUCAACUGUUCUGUUCAAUUUUUUCAGAAUGAUUAUGUUACUAUCCUAUCAUUUUAACUUCCAGUGAAGUGAAAUAUUCAUCUCUAAACCUUCUAGCCUGGUAGUUUGCUUUUCUUCAUGAAUUAUUAUUAUUUUUUUUUUUAAAUUGUUAAAAAGGAAAAUCCUUUAGAGUUUCUGUUUCAGGCCUCUAUGUAGAGUAAGAGAAUAUUUAGGUUAAAAUUGCUUGAAUUUUAGUAAAAUUUUUCACCAAGUGAGAGAUUAAUGAAGUUCAAUCAAAAUGUUGGUGCUCUACCUGAUCUAGCUGCUCAUUUGCUUAAGCUUUGGCUCUGCUUUGGUCUAUUCAUAAAUAGAUAUACACUUUAGGCAUGUAUUUCAACUUGGAACAUAGAGUUGAUUCUUGAAUUCAGUGGAUGUCUCAUUUCUUUUUUCUCGAGGCUUUGCUAAAGUAAAUGAUAUAUAUCCUCAUUAUUGUAAUUGGGUAGUUUUCAUACAUUAGAUGGCAAAUUUUUACUCCAAAUCUUUAACUUUAAAUUCUUUUUAACUAAUUUCCCUAGCUAGGAUAGACCUUGAGUGAGAAUGCAGAAAUCUUAGUUGGUACCUGUUCCAUGUUCUUAUUUUUAUUGUACUCUAGUCCAUUUUAGCUUAAAUAUUCAUUCUAGUCCUUUUCAGCUUAAAUAUUCCUCUGAUUUCAACUAAUAUAUAAGUUUUAGUCCCCCUACAGAGAUGCCAUAAUUUUACAUUUGAAAUUCAAUAGAACAUAACACUAAGCACAUAAUGGUCCUAAAGCACAUGAAAGUGAAUUUUCUAUUUUCAGUUAUAAUAGAAACUAAAGGAGCAGUAAUCUAGAUGUUGUGUCUUUAUUUGAAGCUCUGAAAACUAUUGUGUUCUGCUAAAGAAAACUUGUUCUUGUGUUUUUGAUAUUAUAAAUUAGUUUCUUCUAGGUUCUAUCAUGUUUAAGUUUAGUUUAAUAGGCUGGACUUCCUGCUGCAAUUUUUGACAUGAUUGCUAAUUUAAAUGGUUCGGAUGAGACAAGUCCUACAAGUCUUAUGGAUGGUACCAUGGUAAGUAAACUUAUUCUAUUUCAUGUGAAAGUAAGUUUCUAUUUUGUGUGUACUGUUUUUCAACUAUAUAUGAGUAUUGUCUAACAUAUAUAAUCAACUAAGACAAUUUAGUUGGAUUUGAGUUUUCUUUUACGUACUACAGUAUGGCUCAUGACCACAUUUCAUCCACUUAGACUUGGUUUCCUAUCUCCUUAGAACACAAGGAUAUAAGAGCCUAUAGAACAAAUCCUGUUUAAGCAAGUCCAAAAAAGAAAAAGCCCAAGGAAUUUCCCCAAAUAGAAAAUGUUAGCCCAGUAAGAAAGAGAAAGAAACGAGGUAAAAUAUAGAGUAUUGGGAUUUUCUUUAAUACCGUGGUUGCCCCUCUCUGUUCACCAUUGAUUUUCCUCCGUUGUCAAAAAAUCAACAGCAUCAUCUCUGUCUUUACUUUGUGUUUGUGUGUGAGUUAUUUAUUUGGCAUGGUAUUUGAAUCUUCAAUGUAGUUAAAUAAUCAAGGACUCUAAAAAUAUAAUUUAGGAGCAUGAGAUUUUGGACUGAAAAAUGUAUACACGUUUUCCUCUUUGAUCUUUUUCUUGUCCCACUUUUCCUCAAUUCCUCUUAUGCAGUUAAACAAGUUUUCAGUGGUUUUAUUUUACACUUUUGUAUUCUAUUGCUUCUUUUUAUCAAAAUCUAAUUAUAUUUAUCUUCUUUUUAGGAUGAGUAUGUGUAAACAAACAUUCCUGGCAAUCCCGUUCAUGUAAUGCACAAGCUGUUGAAAGAAGAUUUAUUUUUCGGGUUACUAUUGUAAUAUAACUUAAAGACCGUGGAUAUAUGAUGCUUUUGUUCGUUUUGUUAGUAAAAACAUAAUUUUUAGGACUA